rnacentral:rRNA from 1 species
AGAGUUUGAUCAUGGCUCAGAAUCAACGCUGGCGGCGUGCCUAACACAUGCAAGUCGAGCGAGAAAGGGGGCUUCGGCCCCUGAGUACAGCGGCGCACGGGUGAGUAACGCGUGGGUUAUCAACCUCUGAGUGGGGAAUAACAGCGGGAAACUGCUGCUAAUUCCGCAUGACGUCCAUUGGACCAAAGCCGGGGACCUUCGGGCCUGGCGCUUGGAGACGAGCCCGCGUCCGAUUAGCUUGUUGGUGGGGUAAUGGCCUACCAAGGCUUCGAUCGGUAGCCGGCCUGAGAGGGCGGACGGCCACACUGGAACUGAGACACGGUCCAGACUCCUACGGGAGGCAGCAGUGGGGAAUUUUUCGCAAUGGGGGAAACCCUGACGAAGCAACGCCGCGUGAAGGAUGAAGGCCUUCGGGUCGUAAACUUCUGUCAACCGGGAAGAAACCAUCCAGUCGAAUAGACUGUGGUGCUGACUGUACCGGUGGAGGAAGCUCCGGCUAACUCUGUGCCAGCAGCCGCGGUAAUACAGAGGGAGCAAGCGUUGUUCGGAAUUACUGGGCGUAAAGGGCGCGCAGGCGGCUCAGCAAGUCUUGUGUGAAAUCCCCCGGCUCAACUGGGGAACUGCACAGGAAACUGCUGAGCUUGAGUUCGGGAGAGGGAAGCGGAAUUCCGGGUGUAGCGGU